rnacentral:rRNA from 1 species
GACGAACGCUGGCGGCGUGCCUAAUACAUGCAAGUUGAGCGCUGAAGGUUGGUACUUGUACCAACUGGAUGAGCAGCGAACGGGUGAGUAACGCGUGGGGAAUCUGCCUUUGAGCGGGGGACAACAUUUGGAAACGAAUGCUAAUACCGCAUAAAAACUUUAAACACAAGUUUUAAGUUUGAAAGAUGCAAUUGCAUCACUCAAAGAUGAUCCCGCGUUGUAUUAGCUAGUCGGUGAGGUAAAGGCUCACCAAGGCGAUGAUACAUAGCCGACCUGAGAGGGUGAUCGGCCACAUUGGGACUGAGACACGGCCCAAACUCCUAAGGGAGGCAGCAGUAGGGAAUCUUCGGCAAUGGACGAAAGUCUGACCGAGCAACGCCGCGUGAGUGAAGAAGGUUUUCGGAUCGUAAAACUCUGUUGGUAGAGAAGAACGUUGGUGAGAGUGGAAAGCUCAUCAAGUGACGGUAACUACCCAGAAAGGGACGGCUAACUACGUG